AUGGAUCUCAGCAGCCAGUCUUUCAAUUUGCCUCCAGGGGCCUGCAAUUCAUCUGAGAAAUCAGCAAUGUUGCUGCCAGCAGCACCACCACCAGCAUACCAGGACAAUCCUGCUGGAUAUCCUCACUCCUUUCCAAGCCAGCCAAUCCCCCAGGGCCCCUACACCCAGGGGUCGUAUCCAGGACAAACUGUGGUCGCUGUACAGCCUGCAGUUUUUGUGACUGCUGCUCCACUGGCCAAUCCAGUGCCAGAUUACUUGGGUUACUCCAUCUUUACCAUGCUGUGCUGCUGUUUACCUCUGGGAAUUGCUGCGCUGAUUUACUCCUGCUCUACUCGAAAUGCCAACUACUCAGGACAACGAGAAUUAGCAGAGAGCAACUCCAAAACGGCACGCACCCUGAAUCAUGUCGCUCUUACAAUUGGUCUCAUUUUGAUUGUAUUGUAUAUUAUUUGUAAUGUUGUGAUGUUUAAAAAUGUACAACAGUAUCCAUAACUGUUACACCUAUCAUGGUUGGACGCAGAUUAUACAAACAUUUUCAAUGUUUAAAAUGUUAUUUGCUUAAUGUGUCAAUAUUCACUCAGUUAAAACAUGCUGUGAAGGCGGAUUAUUGGAUGUUUAAAACAAUAAAAGCUUGACCAACUAAAAAACAGCAUUUAUUUUUGUUUUUGUUUAUUAUAUUGCAUAAGUAAUUAUUAACAGAUAUUCCUACAGUAUAGUGCAUGAGCCACAUUUUAGCAAACUGUAAAAAAACUAGACUAACCCUUAGAACCAAGUUGUUACCACAUGAAAUGGUGUCUGACAUUUAACAACUAUACCUGCAACUUUACGAGAAAUUAAUUUCUUCAGAAAAGCAUGACAACCAAAAUUACAAAACAAAGACAGUUGGUUCCCAGUGAUCAAAUAACUUUUGCUCAAUAAUAGGUCAAUAGAUUUGUAAUGUAAACAUGGAUCUUUAAUAAAUACUGUAGUGAAUUCUAAACAGUAGAGAGUUGUCAUUCUUGUUUUGUAAGUGAAGUGAAAGUCAUGACAUUUGCCAAGUAUGGUAACCCAUACUUAGAAUUGGUACUCUGCAUUUAACCCAUCCAAGUGCACACACACAGCAGUGAGAAGUGAACACACCGUGAACACACACAUGGAGCAGUGGGCAGCUAUAUUCAGCGCCCGGGGAGCAACUGGGAGUUCAGCGCCUUGCUCAAGGGCACUUCAGCCAUGGGUAUUGAGGGUGGAAGAGAGCACUGUUCAUUAACUCCCCACCACCAACAACUCCUGCCAGCACCAAGACUCGAACAUGCGACCUUCAGGUUACAAGUCCAAUUCUCUAACCAUUAGGCCAUAGCUGCCCCAAAGACGUUUGACAAAAGAAAAUAUUGUAUAAUGCUGCGUUAGGUUCUUAGGUCAUUGUUUUAUGACAGCAUGUACUUGUUUGGUGAUAACCUCUGCUAGUGUCAUAGAAAAAUGAGUUGAUCUGAGACAUGUAUGGAGUGUUUUAGUAUUUGUGUCCUAAGAUUUUAUUUUCCUGAGCUCAUUGUGUUACAUAUUGAUUCCACCAGGUGGAACCUGCAGUAAAACUUGAGAAGUUACAGUAAAUUUAAUCUAUGCGAAAAAGUUUGGCAAUCCUCCUCUUAAAAAAACAGAAAGCAUUUGCUAAAUUCGUAAAUGUUAAUGUGAGAGCAUACAAAUCAGGGACGUUGUGUCUGGAUAUGCAUGGUAUGCAUAUGCAUGGCUGAAUGUGAUUUCUCAAAGUACAACAUGUUCCUGGAUCAACAUCUUUGUCCCAAACAACCAAUCAGAUUUGAUGAGCACGUUUACAGGUAAUAUCAGUUUUUGUUUUUCAACAAGGGUUAGGUGCUUCUGCACCCCUGUUGUUCAGCAAUCAUUUCCCUUUGAAUUUAGGGAUAAAUUAUGGGUAGGGUUAGGUUAAGGGGUAGGGAUUGGAUUAGGUCCGACAGUAAUGUUGUCCCAGGAUCAAAAAAAGAUGGUGAUCCAGCAACACAUAUGAGUUGGCAGAAUCACAGUGACCGCACAUGCAUUGAUUGGGGGCCCACCGAGGGGGACCUUUUAAUUAAAACGAGGGAAUGUAUUUCUAGACUAGAGGCAGUAAAACUCAGACACCUUUUAUUCCUUUUCACACAAAUUUAUAAAGUUUUGAUUAAUAAAGCAUAAUUUUUGCACAAUUACUUGAAGAAAAUCAGAUUAUGAAUUCAAAAAAUAUUAAUAUGCUAGAAG
ensembl:lncRNA